CAGCCGCCGCGGUAAUACGGAGGGUGCAAGCGUUAAUCGGAAUUACUGGGCGUAAAGCGCACGCAGGCGGUCUGUCAAGUCGGAUGUGAAAUCCCCGGGCUCAACCUGGGAACUGCAUUCGAAACUGGCAGGCUAGAGUCUUGUAGAGGGGGGUAGAAUUCCAGGUGUAGCGGUGAAAUGCGUAGAGAUCUGGAGGAAUACCGGUGGCGAAGGCGGCCCCCUGGACAAAGACUGACGCUCAGGUGCGAAAGCGUGGGGAGCAAACAGGAUUAGAUACCCCAGUAGUCCCUGUCUCUUAUAC
rnacentral:rRNA from 1 species